rnacentral:rRNA from 1 species
AGAGCGAACGCUGGCGGCAGGCCUAACACAUGCAAGUCGAACGAACUCUUCGGAGUUAGUGGCGGACGGGUGAGUAACACGUGGGAACGUGCCUUUAGGUUCGGAAUAACUCAGGGAAACUUGUGCUAAUACCGAAUGUGCCCUUCGGGGGAAAGAUUUAUCGCCUUUAGAGCGGCCCGCGUCUGAUUAGCUAGUUGGUGAGGUAAUGGCUCACCAAGGCGACGAUCAGUAGCUGGUCUGAGAGGAUGAUCAGCCACAUUGGGACUGAGACACGGCCCAAACUCCUACGGGAGGCAGCAGUGGGGAAUCUUGCGCAAUGGGCGAAAGCCUGACGCAGCCAUGCCGCGUGAAUGAUGAAGGUCUUAGGAUUGUAAAAUUCUUUCACCGGGGACGAUAAUGACGGUACCCGGAGAAGAAGCCCCGGCUAACUUCGUGCCAGCAGCCGCGGUAAUACGAAGGGGGCUAGCGUUGCUCGGAAUUACUGGGCGUAAAGGGAGCGUAGGCGGACAUUUAAGUCAGGGGUGAAAUCCCGGGGCUCAACCUCGGAAUUGCCUUUGAUACUGGGUGUCUUGAGUAUGAGAGAGGUGUGUGGAACUCCGAGUGUAGAGGUGAAAUUCGUAGAUAUUCGGAAGAACACCAGUGGCGAAGGCGACACACUGGCUCAUUACUGACGCUGAGGCUCGAAAGCGUGGGGAGCAAACAGGAUUAGAUACCCUGGUAGUCCACGCCG